rnacentral:tRNA from 1 species
GCAAAUAUGGCUCAGCAGUAGAGUGUCCGCCUAGCAAGCUGGAGGCCCUGAGUUCAAACCCCAGUACUACUG